UUAUUCUCGAUGCUAACGUCACGUUAGUGACGUCAUCACCCGCUUUUAUCGUUCUCAUGGUUCAUGGUUAUGCACACUUUCAGCUUCAAAUAAUUAAUCGCCUUUGUCGUCCGUAAAACACAUGCGCGGAACCCCGCGUAAUUAAAUUACUAGUAAAACGUGUUCCGCGCAUGUGUUCUAAUGUCACUUUUGACCAGAUAUCGUUCUCCUAUUUUUCGUUAACUUUGAACCUCUCUCACUCAGCAUAGAAAAUAUAUUAGCACUAUUCUUAUUCUCACUCAUGGUGACAGCUUGAAAGAGUAAUGAUGAGCUUAUUAUAGAGGAUGUUGAUGGAGUGGUGGGGGGUUGAUAAUCCAGGAUAUUCUCGGUCGUUGAUGAGGGUGGUGGGUUUUAAAAGUCUAUCGGAAUUCCCGGACGUUAAUCGGUUCAACAGUCUGUCAGAGUUGCAAAUUCCAUGAAUUCAUGAUUCCAAAGUUUUUCACAGCCUGUUGCAGUAGAUCUCUUUGAGCCUGGAUGAAGUCCCUGAGCAUCUGCGUCACCUUCUUCCUGUCGUCCAUUUCGCUGGCCAGCCGCGAGUUGUAGUCGGUCAACAGCGCCACCGCCUCAUUCACCUCAAUUGACAGCCUUUCUGCAGCUGCCUUAUCUACAUCAACAUCAAUGCAAAACUCAUCAAUUUAUAUAAUAGUUAUGUAACAAUUAAAAAAUCAAAGUACA